GAACUUUGUCCUCGAAAUCGACAGCCUCCAUCAGUUCCCCAUCAAACUUCCAUGUGACAGUCCCAUUGGUCUUUGUACCGCAGUGUUCAGCACUAUGCCAAGGUCACUUCAGUCCAGAUAACGAAACAAAUCCAUCAAGGCUGCCCAAGAAAGGUAUCAAUAACAAUUUCAAAAUCCACCCUACAAAAACUCAUUUAUUUAAUGUCAUAUAUACAGCGAUAUUAGUAUAUAAGUGUAUAUAUACAUUAAAUGUUUAGCUUCCCUGGCUGGACUGACACACGUGUUUACGCCAUAUUUUUCAGCCUUCUAUAUCAUGAACAGACACGCUUCAAAUUUAACCAAUGCUGCUGUCUACACAGGCCUCCUAAUGGCUUGCACUUCAGGUUUAACUGCAACCUGAAGGUUCUUACCAAGCUUCUAUUUUUUUCCCCACUUACAAAGUUAGAAAUAUAAAAUUGUGUGUUGGGCUGUCAAGUCUGUAAAAUGCUUCUCUUUGUACACAGCAGCAGCUGUGAUCACAGGCCCAGUGUAGGCCUACGCUUACAAACAUGUGCUGCUUUUGCUGCACAGCAAGUGAUGACAAAGAAUUCAAUGUUUUCUCUGGUAUAUUCCUAUUAGUAAUGAUUGCCAUUACCUAAUCACCUGUGAACAUUUUGAAAACUAGGACCAUGAGUUUGAAUAUAAUAAAACCAACAAAGUAAACAUAUCUUUCCCUUAAAUGUUGCAAAGAACUGGUGGAGCAUUAAAAGAAAAAUAAAACUGAGAAAUUGAAAUGUAAUCUUUAUUACAUGAUUAAUUCCACCAAUACAUUUUUGAUGUGUAGGCAUCACAAUGCAGGAGAGGCAGCGUGAGAAAGAGAAAGGUUUGCACAUUCCACUCAAUUAAAUAAUUUCACUUGUAUUGCAGAACAAAAGGCAAAUCAGACAAGGUAA